UCUAUAAAAAAAUAAAAAAUAUUGAAAAAAAAAGUGCUUCGAAUUAAAGAAAAUAUAUUUGUUGAUUUUACUGUGUUGCUUCAACAUGUUUUUACGGGAAAAAAUUGUAAUCCAAUGGUUUAUUACCAUUUAAUGUUUAUCAGCGAAUUAUUUCUUUCGAUUUCACCAAUUUCUAGUACUUUUAGGCUGCUGAACCAAACAAAGACUGCAAAACAUAAAAUGACUCUGACUGUAAGAAAUACAUCACCUUAUAUAAAUUCAUCUUGGACUGGACGUGGCACAGUCGCAUCCUCAUAACAUGAGGGGGAAUCGAACCAAGCUAUUUUCCAAAGUAAGGAUCUAUUUUUUUUGGCAGUCUCCAAAUGUCUUUAACAGAGAAGCAUCCGGACUUGUCAUACCUUUUUUUUUUUUUUUUGGUAUAAACAUGACUGGGAAUCGAGCCCAGUUAUUUUUCAAACUGACUACCUAUACCCUAGGCAAUUCAGCGGACACGUAACUAAUUCAUCGAAUGAAAGUAAAUCCUUCUCUAAAAUUUCAAAUUAAUCCGACACUCUUGUCAAAGUAUUUUUUUUAUUUUUUUUUUUUGGUAUUAAGAUUAACAUGACUUUGAAUCGAGCCCAGUCAUUUUUCAAACUGACUACCUAUACCCUAGGCAAUUUAUAGGACACGUAACUAAUUCAUCGAAUGAAAAUAAAUAUUUCUUUAAAACUUCAAAUUGGUCAGUAUAGCUGCACAUUUGGCAAAUCGUUGAAUCGAAUCCAGUAAUUUUUCUAACUGAGGCUCUAUUAUUCUGCAUUUUUCAGUAUUUUUGCAUACUUUCGCAUUUCUCCGCCAGAACCUUUUUUUUUUAUUAAUUUUCUCAGCGCUUCUUGAGAGGAUAACUAUAAGAUUGGACUUUUCAGACUUAUUCUAUCCUUUAUUAAGUUAUAAACUUCUCUGUAUAUGCUUAUAGGUUAUAUCCAUUUUUGUCUUUGGUUUAGGCUCUUGCUUUACAUCUUUUAUGGUUUAGGUUAUUUUAUAUCUUUAUUGGUUUAGGCUCUAAUAACGCCACUGACAAGCCUUAGCUGUGAGUAGGGGCAUAGCUAGCCGGAUUGGCAAAUAAAACUCCCCCAUCGUGUUGGUGUCGUUAUUAGAUUCAAUCGUAAUUUGGUGUAGGCUUUCAUUUAAAUUUAAAUAAAUUAUGUAAAUUAAUGCAAA